rnacentral:rRNA from 1 species
GUUGAACGCUGGCGGCGUGCCUUAUACAUGCAAGUCGAGCGAACGGACGAGAAGCUUUCUUGUCUGAUGUUAGCGGCGUACGUGUUAUUAACACGUGUAUAACCUACCUAUAAGACUGGUAUAACUUCGUAAAACCGUACCUAAUACCAUAUGAUAUUGUGAAUCGCAUGGUUCAAAAGUUAAUGACUUUCUUGCUGCCACUUAUUGAUUGAUCCGCUCUGGAUUAGCUAGUUGGUAAGGUAAAGGCUUACCAAGGCAACGAUGCGUAGCCGGUCUGAGAGGAUGACCAGCCACACUGGAACUGAGACACGGUCCAGACUCCUACGGGAGGCAGCAGUGGGGAAUUUUGCACAAUGGGCGCAAGCCUGAUCGAGCAAUGCCGCGUGAGUGAAGAAGGCCUUCGGAUUGUAAAGCUCUGUUAUCAGGGAAGAAAAGGUAGAGGCGAAAAUGCUGAGAUAAUGACGGUACCUGAAGAAAAAGCACCGGCUAACUACGUG